CCUCUCUUCAGUGGCAAUUUUAAGAGGAUUAAUUCAGCAAUUCUCUUCACCUUCUUGGGGUUUCUCUCGGCUGCAACAACGAUGUCUCUUCUUGGUUUUCACAGGUGCAAUUUGAACCAACUUUUCUCAUCUCUGGGAGUAGGAAAAUUGGAGUACUACAUGGUCUCCGAUUCGUAGCUUCACAAUCACUCAUCAAAUAUUUUUGGGAAUUGUUAAAGAGAAAGUUACGUGUGAAUGGGUGUAAAAUUAGCUGAUGAGGCUAUAACAAGGCUUGUUGAGAUUGUUCAGAAAGCAUUUCAAAGAGACGUUUGCUUUACAGGCUGAGGUUAAUCAACUUCUCAGUCUUAUUAUCAACACUUUCUACAACUACAAGGAGGUCUUCUCAGUGAACUCAUAAGCAAUUCUUCC